rnacentral:tRNA from 1 species
CGCGAUGUAGUUCAAACGGAAGAAUACUCCGCUGUCUACUCGAUUGCAUGUGCAAGCGGGGGCGGUGAGGCUGCGGGUUCGAGUCCCGCCAUCGCGU